AUAUCGGUUAAAGUACUUAUUUUGAUAUGGUCAUUUUGUUUUGGUGGUUCUUUUUGUUCAUAUCCAGGAAAAAACCAGUGAUGAUAUACCGAUGCCUACUUACUUUCGCUUCCUUGCCCUACUUGCCUUCAAGAUAUUUGCUGCAGAACAGGUGGAUGUUGCUAUCUUGGAGGUUGGGUUAGGUGGAAAGUUUGAUGCGACAAAUGUGGUACAAAAACCAAUUGUAUGUGGUAUAACUUCCCUUGGGUAUGAUCACAUGGAAAUUCUUGGUUAGUGCUCUAUCUCUAUGACUCCUAGGUAACUGCUUGUCUCAAUUUCAAUAUAUUACUUGUGUAAUUGUGUGUUAGGCACUACAUCUAUCUUAUGUAAUUAACAAUAUAGGAUUAUGCAUUUGGUUGUGACACACUACAUUUGCUUUGCCAACCAGUAUGUGUUAAGCCACUACUCACUAGUCAAAUGAAGAUAUACAGUGUUUUCAGCUAUGAUAUUAACACAUUGGAGUUAAACAGUAUAGCUAGUUCUGUGUAAAUAAUGAGGAUUGCUGUAGUUUAGCUAGUAAAAUAUAUCUAGAAUCUUUAACAUAAAUCAUAAAUAUAUAUUUUUCUUCUUGUUUCAUUGGUUGAUUUCUUAAUAUUUUGCACUCGUACUUGGUAGAUUGGAACUGCUGGUUGGGACUUGAGCUCUUGACCUGAAGGUUAAGAUUACUGAUUCGUAAGUCUACAUCUAAGAAGCAUUUACACUUCUAAGGUGUCGUGUCCCUCUCGGGCACCGACACUUGUCGGACACUCCAUAACAAGUGUCCAAAUGUUUCUUAAUUUUUUAAGAAUUGUACAUGCUCUGGACAUCUGUUUGGGGAAAUAUGUGUCCAUUGCUUAGAUGCACACGAAACAUUGUACAAGUUUGAAGAAUAAUUUGGGAUCCAAUGAUAAAAUGAAAACAAUCUAGAUUAUAUUUAUUAAUCCUUCCUCAUUUUUUUUGAUAACUUGGUAUCUGACGCACUGGACCGAAGCCUUGUAUAGACUGGUUCCAAGAAAUUGUAUUCACCUAGGAGAUUGCGAAUCUGAGGCCUUGGAGGGAGGAGUGCACCCUUCUUCAAAAUUCUUAAUUUUAGGAAUUUCAAAGUUCAAAAACUUUCAAUUUGUUUAUGAAAGCUUUCUAAAGUAGAUAUUAGGACUUUUUGUUCGUAAUUAUUUCCCAAAAUGAUUUCAUACUAUUUUGAUAUAGUAUUAUUUGUAUUGUGAAUAAUGAAGAAAAAAUAAUUAUUUUCUUGUAUAUAAUUUAAAGAUAAAUACUUCUUGUUGUCUCUGCCAUGUUGUGUCCUUAUUUAUUUAUUUAUUUGUAUUAGUGUGUGCGUAUCAUGUUAUAUCCGUGUCCAGUGUCUAUUUCCAUGCUGCAUAGAUUUGCAUGCAUGUAUGCAUUCUUCUUUAUACUGAAUUUUGCGUAGAAGCAAGCAUAAUCAAUUGCAUGGAACAGCCCAUUAAAUUGCUAUGAUGCCAGUAUAUUUUGCAAGAUCCUUGACUAUUUGGGUUAUGGUGUUAGUUUCAGCUUCUCUAACCUCGCUGCAUUGUGUGGUUAAGCAUGUGAAACCAUAAGCCUUGAACAACAUCCGAGUUUCAAUGAUGACACAAAAUGCUUAUUUAUGAUUUAUAGAGCCUGUAAGGUGCAACUUUUUGUA